UUUUAUUUAUCCUUAGUGGCGGACGGGUGAGUAACGUGUGGGCAACCUGCCCUAUACUGGGGAAUAAUCACUGGAAACGGUGACUAAUACCGCAUGUCAUCGCGAGAAGGCAUCUUUUUGUGAGAAAAGGAGUAAUUCGGUAUAGGAUGGGCCCGCAUCUGAUUAGCUAGUUGGUGAGAUAACAGCCCACCAAGGCGACGAUCAGUAGCCGACCUGAGAGGGUGAUCGGCCACAUUGGGACUGAGACACGGCCCAAACUCCUACGGGAGGCAGCAGUGGGGAAUAUUGCACAAUGGGGGAAACCCUGAUGCAGCAACGCCGCGUGAAGGAAGAAGGUUUUCGGAUCGUAAACCUCUAUCAACAGGGACGAAGAAAGUGACGGUACCUGAAUAAGAAGCCCCGGCUAACUACGUGCCAGCAGCCGCGGUAAUACGUAGGGGGCAAGCGUUAUCCGGAAUUACUGGGUGUAAAGGGAGCGUAGGCGGCACGCCAAGCCAGAUGUGAAAGCCCGAGGCUUAACCUCGCGGAUUGCAUUUGGAACUGGCGAGCUAGAGUACAGGAGAGGGAAGCGGAAUUCCUAGUGUAGCGGUGAAAUGCGUAGAUAUUAGGAAGAACACCAGUGGCGAAGGCGGCUU
rnacentral:rRNA from 1 species